UUUUAGAGAUGGGGUGCCAUGUUGGCCAGGCUGGCAUCAAACUUUAUCCGUAGCUGAGGUUGACCUGAUGACCUUUAAACUCCUGAUGACCCUGCUCCCGUGCAAGUGCUGGAAAUACAGGGUGCACUGACUAUUCUUCCAGAGGACCCGGGUCCAAUUCCCGGCACCUACAUGGCAGCUCACACCUGUCUGUAACUCCAGUUCCAGGGGAUCUGGCAUCCUCAUACGUGCAGGCAGCCCACAGAAGUACAGGAAUCCUGUCGUCUUGUCUUUGGCUCUGCUACUGGGUGCCUGACACACUGAGACAUCAACAACUACUUGUCCAUUGAAUAAGUGGAUGAAUGAACUGUGGUUGGAUGCCUCGUUGAAAGCACUCAAGGAAAUAAGAGCUAAAGGCUCCGGAGUGCUCAGACCACAAACACUUGGGUUUCUGUAGGGAAGAGACAAGGAUGGACACAAUGUAGAGGUGGUAAGAGAUUGGACUUGCUUGGGCAGCUGUGGGAGACGUGGCGAGACUGGGUCCCGCUGAAUGAAGAAGACAUAGCGACACCGCUGAGCCUGGGCCACUCAUCUUCCCGAGCUAAGUUUCAUUUUAUUUUCCUCUGAGUGUGUUCACGCGCAUACAUGCACAAGUGUUUAUAUUCGCGUUCAUGUGUGCGUGCACAGGUAAGCAUGUGUGUCUAUGGUAUUCAGAGAUCAACAUUGGAUCUUUUUCAAAGAAUGUCUUUUUCAGUUGAUUCUCCACCUUGUAUUUGGAAACAGUCUCCCACUGAACCCAGAGUUAGACAGGCCAGCCAGAAACCCUACAGGACCUUUUAUCUGUCUCCCCAGUGCGGGGAUUAUACACUCAUGUCUGCCUGGCUUUCUGUGUGGGCUCGGGGGUUCAGAUCUCAGACCUUCAUGCUUGUGGUCAAUGGAUGACAUCUUCUCAGCCCACGUUAUGGCUUUUUGUGGCUGUAGCUCAGGUGAAUUUCACGCACACCUUUUGUCAAGGGUUGGCAAUACCAGGAAGCACCCACAAAAAGAGGGCGACUCCAUCCAACCUAUUCCUUGGGAAGCAGGCUGGGGCUUCUGUGAUUGCACAGCGAUGGAGAUGGUCCCGGCAUGGAAGCUGGGAGGUCUGAGGGGUCUGUGGUCCUCACUGUGGGAAGUGGUGAUGGACGUGGAUUGGCAAAGGCGGUGGAGAUUGGGAGGAGCUGGAGGUGCCAGUGGCAGUGUUCGUGUGCAGUGUUCGCCGGCUGACUCCCUGUGACCUGGAAGGGUGUUGGGCAUAUCAGUUGGUGUUUAGCUAGGAUAGUAGAACACGUAGAAGGUAUUUCCACAAGGAAACAGUCAUAAAUAUGACAGGCAACUGUAGGAUCCUGAGGGCCCAGGUAACCUAGGAAAAAAUAUCUUCAGAAAGUCACCGAGACUUCCUGUGAAGAAAAAAUGGAAGGCAUGAUGCUCUCAAUACCCAGGAGUGGCUGGCCCCUGACUACAUGGGAAGCCACCAGCACAGUUUGGAGCUAGCCGUGGUGUCCUUAAAACUGCUAAAAAGCCGUGGGAACCCCACUACUGCUAGUGUCCCCU